AUGGCAUCUUUAGUGUAUGACUCAUAGUUAAAAAUUAUCCAUCAUAUUGAUUAAAAGUACUCCUAGUUCUUUCAUUCAUCCAUCCGCAUAGAUCUCAAAGUACCUCUAGUUGGCCUAUAGUUAAGAAUCACUUACUGCAUAGAUCUCAAAAGUAUUUCAAAAUUUUUUAUUCAUCCAUAUUAUGAAAAUGAAAAAGACAAAGAUAUUUUGAUAACAACAGGCUCAUGCCGUCCAUUCGUUAGGAAGAUAGAGGACC
rnacentral:lncRNA from 1 species